GUCUCUACCUCCCUUUUACUUUUUGUAGGUUUCGAUCGACAGCUGAUCAUCGAUCUCGUUAUGUAUAUUCGGCGUUUGUAUUCACCUUUGAUUUUCUGCUGCCUGCUUUUCCAUUUAGCUGAAUCUACGGCCGAUCAAUGAAGAUUUUAUGUUUGAAUUUACGAUGGCUUGAUUUUUGUUCGAUUUUCUGCUUAGAUGGAGCUCGGAGAGAUCUGUUUUAGCAAUCAGCUGAGUCGAUGAAAUUCGUUCAUUGAUCUGCCCAUGGUAAACGAUCUUAUUCAUGCUUAGCCGAGCACGAGAGGCUUUCCGUCAUUCAUCGCCAUCGUCUCAAAAACUGGUGAAACUUGAUUGGUUAAACAACGAGAGAAGUCCAAGGUGCGGUUCGCCAUUCGUAUAAAUGGAACUCUAGGUAGUGUUGUAGUCGUAUGUAAAAAAAAGUGUUGAGUGAUAUAUUUGAUCUUCUGAGAGAAGACGAGUGGGUGAGCUGAUCGGCCUUUACCAUGUUGGGUGCGCUCGCAUGGUAGGUCACCACAUAAUAAAAGCUAUUUUUUGUGUUUAGAGGGGAGAUGGUACGGUGAUUUGUCCGGCUCUCCCCUCUUGUGUGCGGUGUUCUUCGUUUUUUGCUUCUCUUCUUUCCCAUAACCCCGUCGCCAUCAUCUAGUUCAGCACUUAUAACUCCGUCAAACAGUUUCAGUAUUUGCUGGCUUUGAAUGGUAACAUUUUGAGCCAUUCAUUCAAGACCAAAACAUGAUAUUAAUCGACGAAAAUGAACUUCACAAGGGCUGGGGCGGAUGAAUUCACCUAUAAGGUACAAAUUAGCACUCUGCCUCUUUACGUUGUUAAUUUUCUUCUAAUCUUGUCUCUAAGUUAUCCAGUGACUCAAUAAGGCAUCAGGUACAAAUACGCACUCUACUAUCCUUCAAUAUUGUCUUUACACUACUGUAAAUGAUCUGAUUUACCAAACCUUGAGCCUGAAAACAGUUACUCAAUCAGAGCCGACCUAGACAAUUAUUCUUUGUUGAGGACAAUUAAUUUCUGAAUUUCAUCCAUCUUUUGCUGGAAUCCACUACACCAUGUACAUGAAAUCAUGGCACGUUCAUGCACCACAACAAGCACAAUAAGUGUAUGAUUGCUGGCUCAUGCCACAGUUCCUUCUGACAUUUGAUAUCUUAAUAAUUGUCAAUCAGUUAAAUUCUACUAUAUAUUGUGUCUUUCUGCAUUCCAAUCAUAUUCAAUGACUCAAUUGUCAAGGUUGUACAAUUUGAACAGUAUGGUUUUGGCUCUUUUUGCCUUCCCUCAAAGUUAAUGACUCAAUACGUCUGUUUGUUUACAAAGUUGUACACUUGAACCGUAUGGUUUCAGCAAUCUUAAGCUAUUAUUUCUUUUAAUAUAUUGAGACAGUUGUGGUGGUUUGA